rnacentral:sRNA from 1 species
AAUUUUGAAAAUUGAGUCUCAUGAAAUGUAGGAAAAUACCUUAUUAGGAAGAGAAACCACGUGGCCCAGUCCCUGAGACGGGAAGGGCCUGCCUGGUCCUGAUGACAUCCGCGGAUCUUUUAAAAUCAUAUGAUCACGUCUGCGAAACCGGGAUGCCACUUCCCACCUGGCCUCUCCCUGACCCCAGCUUGUCCCCUUGGAGGGCUGGCGGACUCCUCAGCCUCACAGCGAUGAAAUCAGGCCUUGAGGCCACCCCACCCGGGACCUGCGGUGCUGUCCCCAUGCGAGAAACCGCCUCGCUCCAGCCCCCAGCAGAUCCUGUCCCAGCCCCCAGCCCUGGUCCAAGCCACUUCCACUCCCACCUGGUGACAGGCCACCUCCUUCAUUCUGGGGCCCACCCACACUUCCCAAGUCCACACACAGUGGCCAAGAGCGAAGGCCGGCGAGGCCCCUGCACGACUCCCUCACCUGCCGCCUUCACGAGCCACCCCGCAGCCUGUCCCCACCAGCCCCUCUCUGCUGCCAGGGUGGUCCUGCUGCUCUUUGCUCUUUGCAAGACUGAACCUGCGGGAGGGUUCGGGCCCACGAAGGCCGCUUCUGUGGGGGCUUCUGUCUAAGGAGGCCGCCGUCUGCCGAGGUGACUGCAGCCUCCGGCGCCUCUCUCCCUGCAGGCUGUUCCUGGUCAUUGAGUACGUCAAUGGCGGGGACCUGAUGUUCCACAUGCAGAGGCAGAGGAAGCUCCCUGAGGAGCACGCCAGGUUCUAUGCGGCCGAGAUCUGCAUCGCCCUCAACUUCCUGCACGAGAGGGGGAUCAUCUACAGGGACCUGAAGCUGGACAACGUCCUCCUGGACGCGGAUGGGCACAUCAAGCUCACAGAUUACGGCAUGUGCAAGGAAGGCCUGGGCCCUGGCGACACAACGAGCACUUUCUGCGGAACCCCAAAUUACAUCGCCCCCGAAAUCCUGCGGGGAGAGGAGUACGGGUUCAGCGUGGACUGGUGGGCGCUGGGAGUCCUCAUGUUUGAGAUGAUGGCCGGGCGCUCCCCGUUCGACAUCAUCACCGACAACCCAGACAUGAACACAGAGGACUACCUUUUCCAAGUGAUCCUGGAGAAGCCCAUCCGGAUCCCCCGGUUCCUGUCCGUCAAAGCCUCCCAUGUUUUAAAAGGAUUUUUAAAUAAGGACCCCAAAGAGAGGCUCGGCUGCCGGCCACAGACUGGAUUUUCUGACAUCAAGUCCCACGCGUUCUUCCGCAGCAUAGACUGGGACUUGCUGGAGAAGAAGCAGGCUCUCCCUCCAUUCCAGCCACAGAUCACGGACGACUACGGUCUGGACAACUUUGACACACAGUUCACCAGCGAGCCCGUGCAACUGACCCCAGACGAUGAGGAUGCCAUAAAGAGGAUCGACCAGUCGGAGUUCGAAGGCUUCGAGUAUAUCAACCCAUUAUUGCUGUCCACCGAGGAGUCGGUGUGAGGCCGCGUGCGUCUCUGUCGUGGACACGCGUGAUUGACCCUUUAACUGUAUCCUUAACCACCGCAUAUGCAUGCCAGGCUGGGCACGGCUCCAAGGGCGGCCAGGGACAGACGCUUGCGCCGAGACCGCGGAGGGAAGCGUCGGCAGGCGCUGCUGGGAGCAGAACAGUCCCUCACACCUGGGCCCGGGCAGGCCAGCUUCGUGCUGGAGGAACUUGCUGCUGUGCCUGCGUCACGGCGGACCCACGGGGACCCUGCCGAGGGGGCUGUCAUGCAGUUUCCAAGGUGCACAAUUUCCACGGAAACAGAACUCGAUGCACUGACCUGCUCCACCAGGAAAGUGAGCGUGUAGCGUCCUGAGGAAUAAAAUGUUCCGAUGAUGUGG